rnacentral:rRNA from 1 species
CGAACGAUGAAGCCUUCGGGUGGAUUAGUGGCGAACGGGUGAGUAACACGUGGGCAAUCUGCCCUGCACUCUGGGACAAGCCCUGGAAACGGGGUCUAAUACCGGAUAAUACUGUGCCCCUCAUGGGGGACGGUUGAAAGCUCCGGCGGUGCAGGAUGAGCCCGCGGCCUAUCAGCUUGUUGGUGGGGUAAUGGCCUACCAAGGCGACGACGGGUAGCCGGCCUGAGAGGGCGACCGGCCACACUGGGACUGAGACACGGCCCAGACUCCUACGGGAGGCAGCAGUGGGGAAUAUUGCACAAUGGGCGAAAGCCUGAUGCAGCGACGCCGCGUGAGGGAUGACGGCCUUCGGGUUGUAAACCUCUUUCAGCAGGGAAGAAGCGAAAGUGACGGUACCUGCAGAAGAAGCGCCGGCUAACUACGUGCCAGCAGCCGCGGUAAUACGUAGGGCGCAAGCGUUGUCCGGAAUUAUUGGGCGUAAAGAGCUCGUAGGCGGUCUGUCACGUCGGGUGUGAAAGCCCGGGGCUUAACCCCGGGUCUGCAUUCGAUACGGGCAGACUAGAGUGUGGUAGGGGAGAUCGGAAUUCCUGGUGUAGCGGUGAAAUGCGCAGAUAUCAGGAGGAACACCGGUGGCGAAGGCGGAUCUCUGGGCCAUUACUGACGCUGAGGAGCGAAAGCGUGGGGAGCGAACAGGAUUAGAUACCCUGGUAGUCCACGCCGUAAACGUUGGGAACUAGGUGUUGGCGACAUUCCACGUCGUCGGUGCCGCAGCUAACGCAUUAAGUUCCCCGCCUGGGGAGUACGGCCGCAAG